rnacentral:rRNA from 1 species
AAAAAAGGUAAGCUACUAAGAGCGAAUGGUGGAUGCCUUGACUGGUAAAGGCGAUGAAGGACGUACUAGACUGCGAUAAGCUACGGGGAGCUGUCAAGAAGCUUUGAUCCGUAGAUUUCCGAAUGGGGCAACCCAAUGUAUAGAGAUAUACAUUACCUAUAUAGGAGCGAACGAGGGGAAUUGAAACAUCUUAGUACCCUCAGGAAAAGAAAUCAAUAGAGAUUGCGUCAGUAGCGGCGAGCGAAAGCGUAAGAGGGCAAACCCAGUGCUUGCACUGGGGGUUGUAGGACUGCAAUGUGCAAGAGGUGAGUUUAGCAGAACAUUCUGGAAAGUAUAGCCAUAGAGGGUGAUAGUCCCGUAUGCGAAAAACAAACCUUAGCUAGCAGUAUCCUGAGUAGGGCGGGACACGAGAAAUCCUGUCUGAAGCUGGGUCGACCACGAUCCAACCCUAAAUACUAAUACCAGAUCGAUAGUGCACAAGUACCGUGAGGGAAAGGUGAAAAGAACUGAGGUGAUCAGAGUGAAAUAGAACCUGAAACCAUUUGCUUACAAUCAUUCAGAGCACUAUGUAGCAAUACAGUGUGAUGGACUGCCUUUUGCAUAAUGAGCCUGCGAGUUGUGGUGUCUGGCAAGGUUAAGCAAACGCGAAGCCGUAGCGAAAGCGAGUCUGAAUAGGGCGCUUAGUCAGAUGCUGCAGACCCGAAACGAAGUGAUCUAUCCAUGAGCAAGUUGAAGCUAGUGUAAGAACUAGUGGAGGACUGAACCCAUAGGCGUUGAAAAGCCCCGGGAUGACUUGUGGAUAGGGGUGAAAGGCCAAUCAAACUUCGUGAUAGCUGGUUCUCUCCGAAAUAUAUUUAGGUAUAGCGUUGUGUCGUAAUAUAAGGGGGUAGAGCACUGAAUGGGCUAGGGCAUACACCAAUGUACCAAACCCUAUCAAACUCCGAAUACCUUAUAUGUAAUCACAGCAGUCAGGCGGCGAGUGAUAAAAUCCGUCGUCAAGAGGGAAACAACCCAGACUACCAGCUAAGGUCCCUAAAUCUUACUUAAGUGGAAAACGAUGUGAAGUUACUUAAACAACCAGGAGGUUGGCUUAGAAGCAGCCAUCCUUUAAAGAAAGCGUAAUAGCUCACUGGUCUAGUGAUUUUGCGCGGAAAAUAUAACGGGGCUAAAGUAAGUACCGAAGCUGUAGACUUGAUUUUAUCAAGUGG